GACGAACGCUGGCGGCGUGCCUAACACAUGCAAGUCGAACGGAAAGGCCCUGCUUUUGUUGGGCGCUCGAGUGGCGAACGGGUGAGUAACACGUGAGUAACCUGCCCUUGACUUUGGGAUAACUUUUGGAAACUGCGGCUAAUACCGCAUAGGAUCUCCUGCUGCAUGGUGUGCGUUGGAAAGUUUCGGCGGUUCUGGAUGGACUCGCUGCUUAUUAGCUUCAUUGUGUAGUAGUGGCUUACCAAGGCUACGACGGCUAGCCUGCCUGGGAGGGUGACCAGGCACAUUGGGCCUGAGGUAGGGCCCAGACUGAAACGGGAGGCAGCGGUGGGAAAUAUUGCGAAAUAAGCGGACGCCUGAUACAGAAACGUCGGGUGCGGGAUAACGGGUUUCGGGGUAAAAACCGCUUUCGACUGAAAAGAACAGUGAGUGACGGUAAUGAAUCAAAAAGCAACGGCUAACUACGUG
rnacentral:rRNA from 1 species